AUUGAACGCUGGCGGCAUGCCUUACACAUGCAAGUCGAACGGCAGCACGGGGGCAAUCCUGGUGGCGAGUGGCGAACGGGUGAGUAAUGUAUCGGAACGUGCCCAGUCGUGGGGGAUAACGCAGCGAAAGCUGUGCUAAUACCGCAUACGAUCUAUGGAUGAAAGCGGGGGAUCGCAAGACCUCGCGCGAUUGGAGCGGCCGAUAUCAGAUUAGGUAGUUGGUGGGGUAAAGGCCCACCAAGCCUGCGAUCUGUAGCUGGUCUGAGAGGACGCUCAGCCACACUGGGACUGAGACACGGCCCAGACUCCUACGGGAGGCAGCAGUGGGGAAUUUUGGACAAUGGGCGCAAGCCUGAUCCAGCAAUGCCGCGUGCAGGAUGAAGGCCUUCGGGUUGUAAACUGCUUUUGUACGAGACGAAAAGACUCGCUCUAAUACAGUGGGUACAUGACGGUAUCGUAAGAAUAAGCACCGGCUAACUACGUGCCAGCCGCCGCCGUAAAAC
rnacentral:rRNA from 1 species